CUAAAAUUAGCUCGGAUAUGGCACAAGAGCAAUGUCUCAUGGCACAUUGGGAAGAUUAAAUGUGUAGAUCAGGGGCAGUACUUAAAAUAGUAUUUUUUCUACAAAGCUAAAUGUCCCCUGAAGAAUAUGCAUUAUACAGCAUGCAUUAGAUCUGAAUCUUUAAAGAACUUAGAUGAUUUAGCUUUAAGUGUGCCUUGCCUUUUUG